CCAAUCCAUUACCAGAUUCUUCAAGCAACCUCUCCUGUGACAUGUCGCCCAGGCUCCCACCUUUUCCUGUCAGAUCUUUCCUCUCUCAGGAUCCUUGAAAUUCCAUAACAAGUCCCAUUGAUCCCAUUCCAUGGAAUUCCUUACAAGUUCAUUUUACCAUUUUGCCUGACACCAUCUUGGUUAUCCCGCCAGACAUCAAUUGCGCUUGAAUUUGAAGCUUCUGCCCAUGUUCUUCCCAUGGUUUUAAGACACUGACAAAUGGGAUGCGAGUCUGUGUGGACCAAAUCUGGUAGCACCAGAUGAACAGCCUAGAUUCAGCCACGUGGCACAUAUGUAUCUCUGUGUUAUCCUCCAAACAUACGGAGGACAGCUCAGCUCUAUCUCAAUACGGCUUUCUUGGCACUGAUUUAUCAACUGUUGUUACCUAACAUCAGAUUGGUGUCAUUUUGGAGGUCACACACUAUCAAGAGACUGUAUACGUGAUGUAUGGCUCGGAUCUUAUGCGCGUUUUGUCGAUGUCGUACAUGGCAAGGGCCAAGAUCUUUUAUCAAUGAUUCAAGCCGUUCAAGGUGUAUUUGCAAUGGCAGAUAAAGUUUCAACCAUCACGAUCAACAGCUCCAAAUUUCGCAUUGAUCAAAUGGUCAACUCAGCAAUUCAACAGUAUACCAAGGACCAUGCCACUAUGGUAAAUCAAAGUAGCCAUGAGAACCAUAAAUCUGUCAGAGUAUUGAAACAGCCUCCAGAGUACAAGAAGCAACCAAAAUCAAUCUUGGGCCAUCUUCUGCAACAUCGGAGGGUAAUUCCGUGGUUUGAAAGUAUAUCAAGGAUGUCCCACACCCAGUGUAUGAUUAAAGAAAAUUUGGAAAUGU